CCUACGGGAGGCAGCAGUAGGGAAUUUUGCGCAAUGGGCGAAAGCCUGAUGCAGCAACGCCGCGUGAACGAGACGCCCUUCGCGGUGUAUAGUUCUGUCAGAGGGGACGAAAAAUUACGGUACCCACAGAGCAAGCAGCGGCGAACUCCGUGCCAGCAGCCGCGGUAAUACGGAGGGUGCAAGCGUUGUCCGGAAUCAUUGGGAGUAAAGAGUUCGUAGGCGGCAUGUAAAGUCAGGUGUGAAAGGCGCAGGCUCAACCUGGGUAUGGCACAUGAUACUUGCAAGCUGGAAUGCGGUAGAGGUAAAGGGAAUUCCUGGUGUAGCAGUGAAAUGCUUAGAUAUCAGGAGGAACAUCGGUGGCGUAAGCGCUUUACUGGGCCGUAAUUGACGCUGAGGAACGAAAGCCAGGGUAGCAAAUGGGAUUAGAUACCCUUGUAGUC
rnacentral:rRNA from 1 species